CGAUAUAAUGUCAUAAAGCGCGACGCAUCCAAUGUCCGCGACGUUUUCAGCAAUAAGAAAGACGAGCUGGAAAAAGGUUAACCACAGAGGCAAGAAGGGAUCUAUCGGGACAUAGAAGGGCGCGGUGCGCAUGCGCGAACGAGAAACGACGCCAUUGAAUUUGUGCUGGCACUUUAAAAAGCGAAAGGUAUCCGAGACGUUCGAAUAUCCGUGGCGGAUAAAAAGCUAUUUCAGCAGUGGAGUUCGUAAAAGUAGUGCAAACACAAGAGAGUCAGAUCUUAAAUUACAUUUUGCAACCGACAGGCGUAUGAUUCAUCGUCUAUGUGCGUUAAGAGGUGCCGAGGAAAAAUAAAUAAAAAGACAUCGCGUAAUGUAAAAGGGUGGAGUAAUGCGUCACGAGGACUAACCUAACCUAACUUUCCCACGGUCGUAGUCACGGCGGAGAGUGAAGGGUUCGAGAAGAUUAUUUAGAUGACGUGGAAGGAGAAAGAGGGUGGGUGGUAGCCAUGAUGAUGAUAAUGAGGAUCCGAACGAAAAAGAAAUGCAUUCCGCGUCACGAAACGCAAGUCGAACCACGAUCGAAAUCGUGCGGCCUGAUGGAACUUGGUAAACAGAGUGGAUCUUAUGUUAUUAUACGUCUGUUUAGUCUUUACUUUUAUUUAUCUUCUUGUUUUCCUUUUUUUUUUGCGCUCGCUCCCUUUCUUCCUCUUGGCUAGAAUCCAAAAGUUUGGAUUAGCCAAUAGGCAACGGGGACCGUCUCAAACUGUCAGACACGUAGCAAGAUAGAUUAAACGGACAGAGAGAGAGAUCAUUGCGUGAAAAUAUGAUGAAUAUACGCAAUAAUCUG